UAUGGCCAUAUCACAUUGAAACACUGGUUUUUGUAUGAUCACUGAAGUUAAGCAAGUUGAGUUUGGUCAGUACCAAGAUGGGUGACUGCUUGGGAAUGUCAAGUGCUGUAAG